rnacentral:rRNA from 1 species
UACGGGGGGUGCAAGCGUUGUUCGGAUUUAUUGGGCGUAAAGCGCGUGUAGGCGGUUUAUUAAGUCUGAUGUGAAAGCCCCGGGCUCAACCUGGGAAGUGCAUUGGAUACUGGUAGACUUGAAUACGGGAGAGGGAAGUGGAAUUCCUGGUGUAGGAGUGAAAUCCGUAGAUAUCAGGAGGAACACCGGUGGCGAAGGCGGCUUCCUGGACCGAUAUUGACGCUGAGACGCGAAAGCGUGGGUAGCAAAC